UCUCUCUCUCUCUCUAAUGAAAUAGAUUCUAAAUUUGAUAUGACAAUACUCAAAUAUGAGAUUUCAAGAUAUUAAGUAAACUCAAGGCCUUUGUUUUUGUUGGCAUAGAUCUGAUGUAUUUGAGGUUUCAUAGAUUUUUUGUUUUCUAUUUUUAAGCAAGAGAUUCCAUAGAUUUGAUAUCAUCCUGGUUCAGAUUUCAAAAUGAUCUAUUAGCCUUCUCGGUGGUUUCCGCUUUCUACUACUAGAUCAGCAAUUUUGAUAACAUUGCUACUCAAAAGGCUAUUUAACUGCUGAAAUCUGGUCUAAUACUUUAUUGGUUCUUGCGCUUAUCAGGAUGUUGAUUGGUUUUGGCCAUAGUUUCUAUGUAGCUAUCUGAGUUGGCAAGGUCGAUAGUUUCCAGUUUAACUGGUUGAACUAGCCAAUCCUAUCAGGUCUUGUUUUUAAAAUGCUGGUUUCUUUAUAUGUUGGUUAAUUCACCAUGGACCAAAUCUGGAAUCUCAGUUAAGUGUCUUUUGAAUGUGAGUUGAUGUAAUGUUUCAGAUGGGUGAACUAGAAUGAAGUUGGAAUAAUAGAGAGGAAGAUUGGAGCAUACUAUAGAGUGUGAACUGUCAUGGAAGGUUGAAGAAGUUGGAAGCUAUGGUUUGUAAGGGGAGAACAUAAAGCAAGUUGUUUUGUCUUUAGCAAGGCGAGGCAUAAGCCUCAAAGCAUCAAGGCAAGCGUCUGUUUUUUUUUUUUUUUGUGAUAGUAUGUGUUGUAAGCCUUUUGAUUAUUUAUUGUUAAUAAAAUUCAAAACAUCUAACUAAAUAUUACUAAAUAAUAAAUAAUAACUAUGAUGACCUUUAUGAGAUAAACAUAAAAAUAUGAAGAAUAUCUUGUGAAAUAAUGUAGCAUGGUCUUGUCACUAUUCAUAUAAAUGAAGCAGUUGCAUUUUGUGUAAAUGUUGAAUUUUUAAACCUCAAGGUUAUUUGUGUUUGCUUUGCACAAAGAUGUGCCUCAUCAAUGCCUUUAAAAACAGGGGUUGGAAGUGCGAUUCGAGCCAGAGGUGAGAUAUAAGAGUGGAAAAGUGGAGUGUUGGAAGUUGGAACUCAAGAAUGUGAAUUGGAACUUGGACAAAAAUCUGAGGAAUGUGGAGCCUUAUUUGGAGACUUGCUAAACCUCCCCAAAAAUGACUCUCACUAGCUAUAAAUAUAGGCUAGGAUGUAGUUAAUAUCACCGAAGGGAAACUGUCAGCUCAUAUCUCAUUUAGGGAAUUCUUGGUGAAUUCCCUGGUGACUAGUUAUGAUAGUAAACUUGUUCUAGGCAAUGUGAGGUAAUGCCAUGUGUAAAAAGGGUGUAUGGAAGUGGGCACCAUGACUCCAAGGAAAGGUUAAAGGUGGGAAACUAACUCCAUUUCCAAGCAAUCAAACUGAGCUCUCUAGACCCAAUACAUGGAAUUAACUUAGGGAUCCUACUUCUUCUGGUCGUUUAAGUACAUGAAUCCAUGUACAUCCAAAUGAUAGUGCAAGUUUCUACAAGACAAACUUAGAAGAAGUAUAAAUUGUUCAUUCAUAAUUGCCAACUUACAGAAAUCUACAGAUCAUUGCCUUUCAUAAUAAUGUACCUACCUUUUCCAUCCCUUAUGGAGAACUAUCAACUCUACUUAAAUAUGCUGCAGCUUGAGAAAAAUUGCAUUGGCUAGGAGCUUUCUCAUAGUUCUAGAGAUGGGGUAAAUUUUUGCAGUUCAGUUUUGUCGGAAGAAGAGAGACACCGCGAACAACAUAUGGUCAUUUGGAAGGUGAAGGAAAGCUAAAAUCAAGGAACUUAGAUGGCUGUUUCUGUCGUCUCUUGGCAUUUUAUUUGAAUGUUCAGUGUUCUGAUGCUUCUUGCAUUUGUAGUCAAAUGAUGCAGGAGUGCAUGUUUUAAAAAAAUAUCGCCUUCUUUCAUUGCAGUGCUCCAUCCUAUUGUUUACUCCAUACUUCUCAAGGCUAAUACUGCAAAUUCACCUUCAACCUCAAGAGUUUGUAACAGGUUUGGUAAUAGAAUUUAGUUUAUCUUAUAGUUUAUUCAAGGAAGAUUUCUUGCUCUCUUGAUCUUAUCAUUUGAAAAAAUUGAACUUGAGAAAAUGAAUUAUUUAUCAGAUGUCUGUUAUUCUCUGAUUCUAAAUUUUGCAAAUGACCUAAGGUUUUUUUAUAUUUGUUGAAAUGGUUGGAAAUGUCUCUAGGUGAUGGACACUGAGUUCAAAUAGAAUUGCUGAUGUUCCUUCUGGCAUGUACCAUUUUGAAAUUAUCCAUCCAGUUUUUCUUUUUUCAUGUUGUAGCAACUUUGUGAAGGAUCCUUACUACCUUUUGACAAGUAAUGCUGAAUUUAGUGAAAAACAAAAGCACUAGUUUGUUGUUAUUGUUGUGAUUAUAAGCUCAUUUUUCUGUUCUUAUUUUAUCUGCAGGACUGGCCAUAUUUAACUGUAUGCCAACUACAUUAUCAAGUGGAGUGGCACUUACUCAGGCAUGCUUGCUAGUUGUUUUCUAAACCCUUUUCUUAAUGUCUUUGACUUUUUGCUUAAAAGAAUGUCUGUGUUUCUCCAAUGCAGCUUGCUGGGGGGAACUCUGCACUUGCUCUUGCAAUGACAGUGAUGUCUAAUAUGAUAGGAAUUUUGAUUGUAAGUUAUACGUAAAAAGGUGUAUGAUUAAUAUUCUGUUAAUUUUUAGCUUUGCUAUUGGAAUUGGUUGGAUGUUUGAUAUAUCUUUGCUCCCAUUUUACCUCUCUAUAUGAAUAUUUUAUUGUUCUCUAAUACUGGUGUUAAUCUUUUAUUUUCUGAUGUCUACUUUCUGCACAUCAUUUCGUUGUAUCAAUCACCCUAAUUUUUAUGUAAUUUGAAUGUAAUAUAUUUCUAUUGUUGAUUGAGGAGAAAUAUGAAGUGUAAGAAUCUAAUGAAAAUAUAUUUCUGUUAUAUUAAGUGAAAUUUGUAAUGUCAUAGAAGUAUGAUUAUCUACCAUCAAUUAAACUUAUGGUUUGUGAGAAUUAAAAGGAUAUUAUUUAUAUAAGAGUGGAACUAAUGGGAAAUAUUUUUUUAGUAAGAUGUCUUUAAAUUAGUUCUGCUUUAUGGUUGAAAUUUGGGCAAUUAAAUACAUUAUUGUGAAAUGAUUGUUCAAAAUGAGAAUAUGAUGAUAUUGGGAAACAUAAAAUAAGAAAUGAAUGAAUUCAAAAUGGGUAAAAAUGACACUAAUGGAGGAUAAAUUCAGAGAGGAGUGCUCUCUAAAUAGUUUGGUCAUAUUCACCAUAAGUUUCCGGAAAUGCUGAUUCACAAAGUGAUGUAACACUAACAGAAGGAUUGCUAAUGUAUACAACUAUAAUUGAAAUUUUUUUGUAUUGCAGUGAUAAAAGGUUUUUUGUUUUAGCAUAUUGCGAAGAGCAUUGUCUUCAAGAAAGCAGAAAGGAGAUCUAUUUAAGUUGUUUAAAAUUAAUGUUUGGUUUGGUUAUCUUUUAAGUUUUAAAUCAUUGUGUACAGCUAAAGUGAGAAAAAUGAUAGUCUUAGGAUUAGAACCUUUUUUCCUUUCUUUUACCCUUUUAAAUCAACUUAUGUUAAAUUAUAAUCCAAUAAAGUUAUAGUCUCCAGGGGAAUACCCCAGCAGUCAAGAACCUGAGUGUGUAACUUGGAGGUCAUGGGUUUGGAUCCUUGAAGGGGAGGAGUGGGAUUUGUGAAAUGGGAGAGAGCCGAACAUCUAUGUACCAAAAAAGAAAUUUGAAUGAAGUUACUAAGUUGUCUCAUAUUCCCUCUCUCAUGUGCACACACAUGCAUAGCGUGUAUUCAAAUGUGUUUGAUGUAUUGACCUCAAAUUUUUUUUAAAAGAAAAAUUAAAUGAGCAUAUUUUCUAAUUUAUAUCAUUUUCAGAUUCCAUUUUCAAUCUCAAAAUUCAUAGCUGAUGGAGUUGGCGUAUCUGUUCCAACUGCACAACUGCUUAGAAGUCUUGUUCUCACACUUUUGAUUCCUCUGAUCUUGGGGAAGGUAAUAUUUCCAUUGAUUUUAACCUGGAAAGAAGAAAAUCUUCUGGUAUCUCUAAUUUAGAAAGAAGUGGUUGUUUGCUGUAUGAAAACUAUUUCCUUUUACAAACUUUUCAGUUUUUUGGCGGAAGUGUAAGUUAUCUUCUUGUUAUUGCAAGAAAACAUUUAAAGUAGGCAUUUAUUGAAGUCUUCCUAGAAUAUAUUCCUGACUCUUUUACAUGAAGUACUUGAGUACCUUAGUUCAAUAUUGUUCUUUUGUGAUUUUCCAUUCACCAUGUUUUUACUGGUUUUAAACUUCCACAGCAUACAAAAUGGUUGACUUCUGAUACAUAAACUGGUUCUCCAAAUCGUUUUAGUAUACCCUUCCUAUAGCCUUUUAUUGUUUUUAACUGUAAUUGUGCCUUCUAAUUACAGGUGUUACGAGAAUCCUUCAGAGGUGAGUCUCUCUUCCUUGGCCAACUGUUUCCCCCUUUCAUUUCCCUUUGUAAGCAAGUUCUGCUGAAGAUUAAUGCUAAGGCAUCCAUGUUUCAGAAUACUUAAGCUAACGUACCAAUCUUCAUGGCUCCUUCAUACUCUAAGGUUUCAAUUGCAUGAAAUAAUAGGAUGGCUUAUUGGAAUAUAUAGGCUGGCAUUGAUAAUGUGUUUUUGCUAUGAUAGUGACCAUGGUCAAUACCUUUAAUUCUGGUAUCAGUUUCAGUCUUAGUUGAUGUGCAUCUUCUUGUACAAAACUUAAAAAUUUAAAGUCAAAAUGUUAAUGGAAGCAAGGUAUUCAAAAUUAUUCAAGAAUCAAAUUCUGUAGGCUGAAAAUGGAAUCCCAUCAAUACAGGAUUUGGAAGAUCAGAUUGAAAGAAAGAAUAGAUGUUAUUUACCAAUUCACAUCUCAACAUGAUUCAAUGUGUAAUGCAGGCUUGGCAGACUAUGUUGACCAUAAUCGUAAGCUAUAUUCAAGGAUCAGUGCAGUCUUCCUCAGCUUAGUAUGGCCUCAAACUUUGGAUCUUUUUAGUUUUAUUUUACCUAUGAUAUUGUAACAUCAAGUAAAUAUAACUUUUGCUUUUACCAUGGCAAAGAAUUACUCUCUUUUCGUUUAGAGUUUACACUGGCAGUUCAGAAGUUCUGUUAUGUUCAAGUUUCAACCUAACAUUCUGUUGCUCUACUGAAAUUUGAGACUUGUGAUCUUUCAAAUUAUGCCAAUGAGAAUAGGUUAACUAAAGAGUCGAAUUCAGUAAUUACACUUGGCACCUUGUAUGUUUCCGGGCCUACAAAUGUUUUCAGAUAAAACUGUUUUCUUCUUUGUAAUGGUACUUGCCCUGACUAUAAGUAAAAGAUUCAGCGCAGGCUGCCCUAGCAGGUGAUUUACUGAGCAAAUUGGUCAGCACUGACUGCUUUGAAUUGAACAUUUCCUCAACCCCUCUUUGAUGGUACUAUUUAUCAUAGAUCUAAUGCCAUGGCUAUCCUUUUGCUAACCAUGUAAGAAUUUGGUUUAUCAGUAAAUUUUUUUUAAUAAAAAUAAUUAUUUGUCCAACUGUAUACUGAUUUUGACUAGUUGAGACACCAUGGAGAUUUCUUAUCUGUUGGAGGACUAUAUCCUAAAUGCUAUAAUAACAUUUUACAUCACGUAUUCAAGGAUCUGUAGUGGCUAAUUUUCACAUCUUGCUUCUAAGCUCUGUUUCUUUACUUCCAGUAGUCCUUCCUUUCAAACCCUCUCAUUUCCAUUCUUAGCUCCUUAGCUACUUCUAUAGAAACUUUUUUAGUUUUAGUUCACUUAUCCAUUCUUAAUCUUUAAACUGAUAUCACAUUUCUUUAAGUUCUUGAGAGUUAAUCUAUCCAUUAGUACAAGUUCUAACAUUUAAAAAGUAAUAAUGUCAGAAUAAUUAAGUUUAUAUGUAUACUUUUUUUUUUUUUAUUAAUUGGGGGAGGGGGGNNNNNNNNNNNNNNNNNNNNNNNNNNNNNNNNNNNNNNNNNNNNNNNNNNNNNNNNNNNNNNNNNNNNNNNNNNNNNNNNNNNNNNNNNNNNNNNNNNNNNNNNNNNNNNNNNNNNNNNNNNNNNNNNNNNNNNNNNNNNNNNNNNNNNNNNNNNNNNNNNNNNNNNNNNNNNNNNNNNNNNNNNNNNNNNNNNNNNUUAUGUUACUUUUUUUUUUUUUUUAUAAUUGUGGGAGGGGGAUUCGAACCCUGCUCUUAAAGCAGGGGAAUUAUGCGCCAACCAAUGAGCCAAAUGCUCAGGUGCAAUUUAUACGUAUACUUAUGCUGUUCAAAUUUUUUUUUUCUAGAAAUAGAAUAUUGAAAUGAAUUUUUAAGGCAACUAUGAAUGGAAAGAAGAGCUAGAUUCUAUAAUGCAGUAUGGAAAGAAGCUAAUAGAGUAUUUAAACUAUUUAAGAUUUUAUUUUCUUCUUGUUGAAUUUAUGAGUGCCUUAAUUGUAUUUUUCUAUUGUAAUUUAGAAUUUAUAUUAUUUAGGCUAUUUCUUAUUAAUUAGUAUUUAGCUUAUUUGUAAAGAAUUAGAUGCUUGGAAUUAUAUGGUUAUUUUGCAAUUUUAUUAGGGUUUUAGGGUUUAAUUUAUUAAUACCUUUGUUAAAGUGCUAAUUGUAAGUUGUGCUAAAAAUGAUGAUGUUUAUAAGCCUUUGAUAGGAUACAUGAACUUUUAAUCAGUUUGAAUGAUAUAGUUAAAGUCUAUGCCUGUUUUUAUUUACUUAAAAUUGGCACAGUCCAUCCAAAAUCUUAUGUAGGUGUACAACUAACAGCAGAAUUAUACAAGUAGAGACAGAUGCUUUGAAUGAGAUGUGAGAGUGCAAACAAAGCAAAAAGACAUUUAGAUAGUACAGUUGAGAUUUUAAUUAUGAUUUUAUUUUUAUUUUAGGAAGAAGUGUAGCCGAAGUUUAUUGCAUGCAUUGUCAAGAUGUACGGUUUAUCUGAUAGUAAGCUAUAUGUUUGUGCAGGGUUGUUUUGGUUCUAAAUUGCAUUCUGUGCCAAUUGUGCAUGUGCAAUGACAUUUUUCAUAUUACACAAUGUUAUAAUAUUCUAUAAGUAGAAAUCAAGCCCGUUUUCAUACUAUGUCAAGUAGCAAAAAAUUUCAUGUUUUUCAAUAUUUUCUUAUGUCAUUUCCUUUAUAUUUAAAUUUAAAUUUUCCUUUUUAUCCAAAGCUUAAGGUUUUUACUGUUUCUAUGAAACAUGUCUGAAGUUUACAUAUGAUUCUUAUAGGAACAAAUGCAGCAACUUUGAAUGCCAUUUUUGUUUUACUUACAUUAUGUUUCAAAACUAUCAUGGUUGGCUAGGUGCCAUGGAUACAAGUGAGCAGGUCAAGGUCGCUGCUUCUGAUGGUUAAGCCCACUGUUUUUAUUGUAGCUAUUGGAAUAGGAGCGUAUGUUCACUCUUCACUUUGUUUUAUAUUUCCAGUUCAACACUAACUGUAAGGUACAGGGAAGUUAUGAAAACUGUCAUGCAUCUGAUCUAAGACCUAAGAUCCUAGUGUAAAAGAAAAUGAUCAGAGACCUAAUAGUAUGGAAACUAGCUAAUCUGUGAACAUUUUACGCUAAUUGUCAUCAUACGGUGUCAGCUGAUGUUCUUGCCAAGGACCAGUCUAUUGCAUGUGAAUAAGGUGAUAUCAUGGUAGACUUUCAUGUUUCAUAUUCUGUUGUUUGGCAUAGUUUGCCUGCUAUUGUUUUAUCCUAGAUCGCAAUUGAGUUGGUCCUGGGUCGUUCAUUGAGAACGGUCUUGGUGCUGUUCUGAAUUGCAAGCAAUUUUAGCAUUGACCUACAUCAUAGCGGUCGAUGUAUUCACAUGGGUUUACAUUACAAGUUCUGAAGAAACUAAUAUUCACAUCCAUUGUUUUUCCAUUUGCUAUAGCCAAUCAUACGAGUCUUACCCAUUUUUUCUUUUAGAAUUAGUCCAAGAUGUUGUGACUACAGUUGUGUACAUCUUAGGUCACACUGGCAGAGAAAAGAUGAAAAAUUGAUGCACCUGUUAUUUAUAAUUUCCAUAUUAAUUAUCUUAUACACUUUGAUGGAGUUGCAUCUACUUAUUGAAGGAAUCCUUAAUUUAUUGCAGGCUUUUACACCUCAUAUUGUUAGCUUUUAAUACUCUCGCUAUAAGGAGCCUCUCAGCUGUCACUGGUGGUAGUGAAUCAAUUUUUGCCAAGAAAGAAAAUGCCCAAGCAGCUUUGCUUGUUGCAAGCCAGGUGGCUAUCUAUUGAGCUAGCUACACAAAAUUUUCUCCUCUAAAAAGCAUUUUCUGCUAUCAUCCACUUAUGAAACUUUCUCAAACGCCCUUGUUUAUUUGGUAUAAUUCUUUUGUCCUGACCCCUGCCACUAUGCUUUGUAGAAAACUCUGCCUGUAAUGGUGGCAGUUGUGGAGCAACUUGGUGGUGCAUUUGGUGAAUCUGGUUUACUGGUUUUACCCUGUGUUGCUGCACAUAUAAUUCAGGUUAUAUCAUCAUCUCCCAGCUUUCUAUUGCUUUUAAUGUCAUUGUUUUUGACAUUAGUGUUAUUUAUGUAGAUUAUCUUGGAUUCCUUCCUUGUUAACUUCUGGCUUCGAAUGGAUCUCCCAUCGAACACUGCCAAGGUAGCCUGAGAUGUACACCCUUCAUGAUCUUUGAAACAGCAUUUAUUCUUUGUACACACAAUUCUUUUCUGCUUAACAUUGAUUCAAAUUAAACUUUGAGAAAUUAUUGAAUCAUCUCAAAAUGGUUUAGAUAUUGUUGUCCCUCCACUUUUCAUUUGCCGAUACCAGUUGUUUCUGUUCUCCAAAUGAACUAAUGCCUGUAUCUGCAGAGUUACUGUAAACGUUUUGCUCAUCCCUUAAUGUAUAGUAGAACCUCUCUCUCUGUGGUUUGAGGACGUGAAUGGAAAUGAAAGGCAAAGCUGGGGGAGGAAAAAGCAUGUAUGUCUAAAAAGGUAAAAGAGGAUAAGGUCUCUGAUCCAUUGGUUUAAAGUAAUAUUUUCUUGGGAGUGAAAUGGGCUGGGCAACUCCAAACCAAUGGAUAGGGCCCCUGAUCCGUUGGUUGAACUAUCUUGUUCUUGGGACAGAAAUGGCCGAACAACCUUGGCAAAUGGAGAUAGCAUAUGGUAUUUGUAAAUAAUUCG
rnacentral:lncRNA from 1 species